AUUGAACGCUGGCGGCAGGCCUAACACAUGCAAGUCGAGCGGAUGAAGGGAGCUUGCUCCUGGAUUCAGCGGCGGACGGGUGAGUAAUGCCUAGGAAUCUGCCUGGUAGUGGGGGAUAACGUCCGGAAACGGGCGCUAAUACCGCAUACGUCCUGAGGGAGAAAGUGGGGGAUCUUCGGACCUCACGCUAUCAGAUGAGCCUAGGUCGGAUUAGCUAGUUGGUGGGGUAAAGGCCUACCAAGGCGACGAUCCGUAACUGGUCUGAGAGGAUGAUCAGUCACACUGGAACUGGGAAACGGGCCAGACUCCUAAGGGAGGCAGGAGUGGGGAAUAUUGGACAAUGGGCGAAAGCCUGAUCCAGCCAUGCCGCGUGUGUGAAGAAGGUCUUCGGAUUGUAAAGCACUUUAAGUUGGGAGGAAGGGCAGUAAGUUAAUACCUUGCUGUUUUGACGUUACCAACAGAAUAAGCACCGGCUAACUUCGUG
rnacentral:rRNA from 1 species